rnacentral:lncRNA from 1 species
UCUGAUUCUCAACAUUGAUUUCAGGCUUCUUCUCCAUUUUUAUUGCAGGGUUUUCUUCAGGUUUCCAUUGCUGUGACAUCAUUGAGCUAGAAGCUUCAACAUACCCUGCUCCUUGAUAACUUGUUUCAGUCUCUUACUUUGACACUGUGUUCAUUGCCUCCCUGCUCAAUAGCAUGUGAAGAUGGAAGCUUUUCUUGGCCAUUUCCACUUCAGCAAUUUUUUUUCCAAUUUGAUCAAGGAUGAUGCAGCUUCGGUGCUUAAAGGUAAUUGUAUACCCGUUUGCAAUCAUUUGUGAGACACUUAGAAGAUUCUUAGCAAUUUUAGGCACUAAAAGCACAUUCUUGACCAUUCUCUUCCCUUUGGUUGUCAUAACUUCAAUGUCACCUUUUCCCUUGGUAGUUAAUGCAUUUCCAUCACCAACACGGAUUGGAACUUUGAAGCUUGUAUCAAGUCUCAUGAACAGCUUCUCAUUUGGAGUCAUGUGGUUAGCGCAACCACUAUCAAUGAACCAGGUGUUUUCUUUGAAGAGAUUUUCAUCUUCUUUUCUUGCGGAGAACAUAUGGUACUCUUCAUCUUCAUUUUCUUUUUCUUCUUGGGUUGUUUGUGCUUGUUCAGAUCUCCAGUUUCUGCAAUUCUUUGAUAUGUGCCCUAGUUUGCCGCAGAUGAAGCAGCUUCUUGUAUCUCUGUCUAUGUUGAACUCAGGUCUGCCUCUUCCAUUCUUGAAGUACCACACUUCUUCAUUGUGAGUAUCUCUUUUACAGAAUCCACACCACCUUUUUUCUCUGUAGUUAUUUUGACUUGUGUUGCCUCUGUCAUUGUUUUCUAUGUUUAGGUUCUUAAACCGAGCAUGGAAAGCACCUUCAGCAUUUUCUUCCUCUUCAUCUAGAAAUUUCUUUUUUUCAUGGGCUUCCAGAGAACCUAUCAGCUCUGCAUAGGUAACUGAGUUGACAUCCUUGGUUUCUUCCAUCAAAGAGGCUAAGCCUGCAUAACUCUUCGGCAUAGAUGCUAGCAUUUUAACUACCAAGACAAAGUUUGAUCUAUCUCCACCUAGUGCCCUCAUUUGAUUUGCUACAGAUUGUAUCCUAUCAGAGUAGGCCUUAACUUUUUCUCCUUUCAUUUUCAAAUUCUCAAACACUCUUCUUAAGGACUGUAGCCUAACCAUUUUUACUUUUUCAUUACCUUGAUAGAAAUGUUCCAGGAGAUCCCAAACCUGUGUUUGCAGUUGUUGCAGAAAGGAUUUUGUCAAAGAUGGUGUCAGCUACGGCAUAUUGAAUGAUUUGAAGUGCAGUUGUAUCCUUGGCUUUGAGUGUCUUCAGGUUUGUAGCUUCUUUUGACCUAUCGGCUCCUGGUGUUUCAGGUGAUUUUGAUAGUGUUUCUGGAGGUCUUUCCUUGACAAUCUCCCAUAGUUCCUUGUUCAUCAUAGUCGUCCGCAUCCUUACUGCCCAGAACUCAUAGUUUUUUCCAUCAAACAUAGCAACUGAUUGAGAUGAUUGCAGGUUAAUCACCAUCUUUGAGCUUCACUUUCUUUCCUCCUUUUUGUUUUCUUCUUCUUGUGCUUUCUUCAACAGGCUCUAAGGACAACCUGGCUCUGAUACCAUGUUGUGAUUCUCUCUUUUUCUCACUCAAGUUUGUUUUCUUCUCUUUUGCAAGUUGUUUUCUCUAACUCUCAUUAGCAUUCAUUAACUUAUCUUAUACAUAUUUCUUCUUUUGAUUACAUUCUUCUUCACUUAUACAUAUAGGAGGUUUUCGCCAACUGCUACUCCCUUCCACUUACUAUACCAACACCUUAACUCUAGAACUUAGACUGUCUUACACAAACCACUCUACUAAUUAUUACACUUAACUACUACUCUUACAACUGUUACUUAAAUAUUAACAACUCUCAUUGUUCUUAUUUGGUUCUUUUGCAAACUUUACUAGAUUCAAC